rnacentral:rRNA from 1 species
AUUGAACGCUAGCGGGAUGCUUUACACAUGCAAGUCGAACGGCAGCGCGGACUUCGGUCUGGCGGCGAGUGGCGAACGGGUGAGUAAUGUAUCGGAACGUGCCCAGUAGCGGGGGAUAACUACGCGAAAGCGUAGCUAAUACCGCAUACGCCCUACGGGGGAAAGCAGGGGAUCGUAAGACCUUGCACUAUUUGAGCGGCCGAUAUCGGAUUAGCUAGUUGGUGAGGUAACGGCUCACCAAGGCGACGAUCCGUAGCUGGUUUGAGAGGACGACCAGCCACACUGGAACUGAGACACGGCCCAGACUCCUACGGGAGGCAGCAGUGGGGAAUUUUGGACAAUGGGGGAAACCCUGAUCCAGCCAUCCCGCGUGUGCGAUGAAGGCCUUCGGGUUGUAAAGCACUUUUGGCAGGAAAGAAACGUCGCGGGCUAAUACCCCGUGGAACUGACGGUACCUGCAGAAUAAGCACCGGCUAACUACGUG